UAGGGAAUCUUCCGCAAUGGGCGAAAGCCUGACGGAGCAACGCCGCGUGAGUGAUGAAGGUCUUCGGAUUGUAAAACUCUGUUAUUAGGGAAGAACAAAUGUGUAAGUAACUAUGCACGUCUUUACGGUACCUAAUCAGAAAGCCACGGCUAACUACGUGCCAGCUGCCGCGGUAAUACGUUGGUGGCAAGCUUUAUCCGGAAUUAUUGGGCGUAAAGCGCGCGUAGGCGGUUUUUUAAGUCUGAUGUGAAAGCCAACGGCUCAACCGUGGAGGGUCAUUGGAAACUGGCAAACUUGAGUGCAGAAGAGGAAAGUGGAAUUCCAUGUGUAGCGGUGAAAUGCGCAGAGAUAUGGAGGAACACCAGUGGCGAAGGCGACUUUCUGGUCUGUAGCUGACGCUGAUGUGCGAAAGCGUGGGGAUCAAACAGG
rnacentral:rRNA from 1 species